AAAGCAAGAACAAAGGAAGAAAAGAAAGAACAAGAACCCUAGGGUGAAAAUUCAAGAGAAAAUUGGUGGAUUCCAAGUAAUCAAGCAAUCAAAGGUAAAAUUUCUUGAUUUUUACUUGUGAUCUACCUUUCCCAUGCAUUAUUUUGCAUUUUCCAUGGUUGAAUCACAAGAUAUCAUGAAGGAUUCAUGGCUAACUGAAUUUAGAGAGAGAAGAUUUGAUGAUUUAUUUGGUUAGAUUUUGAGAUAUUUUAGUGUUUACAGUUGAUUUAUCAUGUUUGGAAGAAAAACAAGUAAGAAAAAUCACAUGUUCUUCAUGGAUUCUUCAUUGGCUGAAUUUCAUAAAGACAAUAUUGAAGAUGAAUCUUGUGAUGUCUUAUGUUAUUUAGUUAAAUUUAAUGAAUUGUGGUGGUGGAAACCGAAAAUGGUAAUGUUUAGCAUGAAAAAUCGUAUACCCCUCAAGAACCUCCAUUGGCCGAAUCUUCCUUGUAGAGUAUUGAUGAUGAUUUUGAUUUUAUUUCAAGUGAUUUGGUUAGGAAUUAGUGAUUUAUGGUGUGAGAAUCAAGCUUGAAAACAUUAUAGUGUUGAUGCACCCACCAUGGCCGAAUUUUCCAAGAGAAAAUGUGACGAUGAUUUUGCCAUAUUUCAAGUUAUUUAAUUUGUGUUUGAUGAUUUGGAGUAUUGGGAGAAAAAUGGAAUUAAAUAGAGUUAAAUUGGACAUAUUGGCGAAUUAAUUGGGUGAUAGAUCGAAUUAGGCCACUACUGUUUUAUUUAGGUACACAAUUGAAUUUGUGCAGAACACCGUAUUUAAACGAUAAUCUGAACAAUUUACAUCUCAUUUCAUGUAUUAGUAUAAAGCCUGAAUUGGUUUUAUAACAAUUUAGCACAAAUGUAAUAAAUGGUUUAUUGUGCAUUAUGUCUAGGUGGUGAGCAUUCUGGCAAAAGUAAAGAGAUAGUACCCGAGGAUCAAGAAUCGGAGUACUUGAAACUCGAUUUCCAUUACAGUGAGUAACCUUACUAUCGUCUUAAUUAUCUAAAGUGAUUUUUAUCUGAUUUUGUGAUUUUAUGGAAAAUGAGUUUAAAUGGUAAAUCUUUAUGUUUUAUAAACAAAAUGUGUUUAAAUGAAAUGAUUCUAUAAAUUGUCUUGAAAUUGAAUGAUGGCUUUGAAAAUAGAGUAAUUGGAGACCAUUUGAUGAAUUGUGAAUUUAUGGUUCUAAUUUAUUGGCUUAUGGCAAUAUUGGUAUGAAUGGCUGAAUUGGUAUUUGUAUUGAAUAUGUAUAAACUAUUGUUCACCUUGAUAAGCUGGAUAAUGAUAAAAUUGUCAUGUCAUGCUGUUAAAUUUUAUUGAAUUGGUGGGUUAUUGAUUAGUCAUUGCAGUGGAGGAGUUCUGUGGACCAGCCUAUUAGAGGGGGCACGGUAACCCUAUUAUAUUCAUACCUCAGUAUGAGAGGCUCAGAUGGAUAAAUCCUGAGGUUAACACUUUAGAGUUCACUUCACGCCAAACCACCACGUGAGGGUGAACUCAGCCAACGCGAAGAAACGGCUAUAUUUUCAAAAUAAAAACAUGAUUUAUGCGUACAUAACUUUUUAACAGCCUUGGCGGACUCGGUUGGGAUAGCCAUCGACCAAGGUAUCCUUGACAACUGAGUAUGAGAGUGAUUUUGGCACGAGCCAAAGUUUAAGAAAUUCAUAAGCCAUGUUGAUUACUCAAUUUAUAUGAAUUGAUUUUAUUUGAUUGAAAUGAGUUGAAAGGUG
rnacentral:lncRNA from 1 species